UACGAAGGGGGCUAGCGUUGUUCGGAAUCACUGGGCGUAAAGCGCACGUAGGCGGAUCUUUAAGUCAGGGGUGAAAUCCCGAGGCUCAACCUCGGAACUGCCUUUGAUACUGGGGAUCUCGAGUCCGGGAGAGGUGAGUGGAACUGCGAGUGUAGAGGUGAAAUUCGUAGAUAUCGCAAGAACACCAGUGGCGAAGGCGGACUCACUGGCCCGGAACUGACGCUGAGGUGCGAAAGCGAUGGGGAGCAAACGGG
rnacentral:rRNA from 1 species